rnacentral:rRNA from 1 species
UACGGGGGGGGCAAGCGUUGUUCGGAAUUACUGGGCGUAAAGGGCUCGUAGGCGGCUUUGCAAGUCGGGUGUGAAAUCCCUCAGCUUAACUGAGGAAGUGCGCCCGAAACUGCAGAGCUUGAGUACCGGAGAGGAUGGUGGAAUUCCCCAAGUAGAGGUGAAAUUCGUAGAUAUCGAGAGGAACACCGGUGGCGAAGGCGGCCAACUGGACGAACACUGACGCUGAGACUCGAAGAGCGUGGGAGGCAAACAGG